CUAUUUUUUGCAAAAAAAAAAAAAAAACUGGCAGCGAGGAGAGAGAGCCCGGCCGUCGUCUCGUUCGUCUAUGGUAGCGGCCCGUGCUCUGACGCGAAUCGACGACUCCGCGCCCCCGUUGUACAACCCGCUCCCGUUCGUGGUCGGCGUCGCGGAUCCGAUGCGAGUGUGGGCGAUUUUUGCUGCCUGUGCGGCAAAUCUCACGCCAAAUCCCCCUCCAAGCAGGCAAGCACUAUUGAAAUCCUCCCCCAAAUCCCCCGUCGGCCAACCCUAGCAGCAAGAGAAGCGAGCGGCGGCGGCGGCGGCGGCGGCGGCCACACCUUGCAGCAGGAAGCUAGGAACAGAAGCGGGCGGCGGCGGCAGUGCAGGAGCUGCUCAAGGCGAAGGCGCAGCGGGAGCGGAGGGCCAAGGCGGCGGCGCAGAAGCGGAAGCCCACUGGGGUGCUGCUGUGGCGUCGAAGCAGAAGCGGAAGGCGGCGGGGGAGCGGCGGCGGCGCCUUGCUUGCUUGCUCUAUCUUGUGCUGGCCGAUGGCUCCGGCUCCUCUGCACCUCCGUGCUUGCUUGUGCAAGCUUGUGUUGGCUGAUGGCUCCGGCUAGCUCCUCUGUGCCUGCUUGCAUGUGCUUGCUUGAGUACUUAUCAAGGAAAAACAGGGAGGAAGCACAACUGCAGCUGGACAUCAAUGCCAAGUUUUGAGAAGGGCAAAGAUAUAUAGACAACUGAACUGCCAUCUAUUGCUUAUUUGAAUGCCACCAACUGAAUGUAUUUUCAUUCAUUCGUGUAUUCAUGUGUAUAUAUACAUGCUUAUUUUAAGAGUCAUAUGAAUUAUUUGAAUGCAUUGUGUAUUUUUUUCAUGUAUACAAUAAAAUGGCUACAAAGAUCAAUUAUACACUAGAUCACCAUGAGUUUGUAUAACGAAUGAUGAAUUAAUCACCCUGCAGACAGCUAAAUAGACAGCUCAUUAUACAAGCUGUCUGUUCAGCUGUCUAUUUGUGACAAAAAAAACAGCAGCUGUCUGUACGGUUGUACAUGCCUUUAUGCAUGUAGAGUUCUCUUUUUGUACCGUCUCCAUGUGUAAUCAAAGUUGUAAUAAUGUGGCAGAUUGCUUAGCUUUC